rnacentral:rRNA from 1 species
CAUGCAAGUCGAACGAACCGAGGGGCUGUUGACCGGGUUUCCGAAGGGUUCUUCCCGGAAGAGCCCCUGAGGUUCCUUGUUUAGUGGCGAACGGGUGAGUAACACGUAGGUGACCUGCCCCGAAGAGGGGGACAACCACUGGAAACGGUGGCUAAUACCCCAUGUGGUCCCGCAUUCGUUUGCGGGAUUAAAGGCUCCGGCGCUUCGGGAGGGGCCUGCGGCCUAUCAGCUAGUUGGUAGGGUAAUGGCCUACCAAGGCGAUGACGGGUAGCUGGUCUGAGAGGACGGACAGCCACACUGGCACUGAGACACGGGCCAGACUCCUACGGGAGGCAGCAGUGAGGAAUAUUGCGCAAUGGGGGAAACCCUGACGCAGCAACGCCGUGUGGGCGAAGAAGGUCUUCGGAUCGUAAAGCCCUUUUCUCCCGGACGAGAAAGGACGG